UUUUGGUUCCCAAUUUAGGUCGUGAGGAGCAGAAGCUACACUUGAAUUGGCCUACAAGUAAUAAGAUAUGCCUGGGAAUAGCCAGGGGAUUAGCUUAUCUCCAGGAUGAAUCGACGUUGAAAAUCGUCCACAGAGAUAUAAAAGCAACAAAUGUUCUCCUUGAUAAAAGGAUCUAAACGCCAAGAUAUCUGACUUUAAAACCCAGAUAUCGGAUUUAAAACUCGGUACCCGGGUCUUACUUAAAAACACUCAUCCAUGAUAAAAACGACCAAUCGACCAGCCCCCCUCCCAAGUCUUUUUAUGCUAGGGUUAAAAUCCAUCCCACCCCCUCCAACCGUCAUCUCUCUCUCUCUCUCUCUCGCCAAAACCCUAUCCUCUUGUCACUCUUCCUCUACCAAUCGAAGAUCUGUUCCUCGUGGCCAUCGUUUUCUAGUUUUUCACUCCGUAAUCGACUUCUACUAUCCAAGGAGGUAAGAAGGGAUCACAUUCUUGCUGCUUGUAAGGACUAUGUGGCAAGUUUGUUCACGUUUGAUCUAACAAGUCAAUGUACACUAAAUGGGAGAUUCAAAAAAUUGUUAGUCUGCCACUGAUGCCUUACCACAUGUCUGCAGAUGUUCAUCUACAUCAAUGUCUUGCAAAUUAACCACAACAACAAUACCAGGAAGAUAUUUGAAGUAGAGGGGACAGAGAUCCAUCAAUCUUUGUUAGAUGAUGUGUUUCCGCUCACACCUAUCCAAUAAUCUUCUUCCAAAGCUGUGUUUUAUAAUUUAUAUAUUGUAAUUUUGUGUUUUGUAAUGUAAUGUAUAAAUACUAAAUAUUGUAAUAUGUAGUGAA